CGGGCCCAUGAUGAGUACCGUGGCUGUCUGAGACGGGACAUUUUGAUUCAACCUGAAUGGAUCUCUGAGGUCUGU
rnacentral:snoRNA from 1 species